rnacentral:rRNA from 1 species
UUUUCUGCACCGUAAGGUGGUGCAAGAAUAAGGACUGGGCAAGACCGGUGCCAGCCGCCGCGGUAAUACCGGCAGUCCAAGUGAUGGCCGAUAUUAUUGGGCCUAAAGCGUCCGUAGCUUGCUGUGUAGUCCAUUGGGAAAUCGACCAGCUCAACUGGUCGACGUCCGGUGGAAACUACACAGCUUGGGGCCGAGAGACUCAACGGGUACGUCCGGGGUAGGAGUGAAAUCCUAUAAUCCUGGACGGACCACCAUGGGGAAACCACGUUGAGAGACCGGACCCGACAGUGAGGGACGAAAGCCAGGGUCUCGAACCGGAUUAGAUACCCGGGUAGUCC